rnacentral:rRNA from 1 species
UACGGGGGGAGCAAGCGUUGUUCGGAUUUACUGGGCGUAAAGGGCGCGUAGGCGGCGCAACAAGUCACUUGUGAAAUCUCCGGGCUUAACCCGGAGCGGUCAAGUGAUACUGUCGUGCUAGAGUGCGGAAGGGGCUACUGGAAUUCUCGGUGUAAGCGGUGAAAUGCGUAGAUAUCAGGAGGAACACCGAUGGCGAAGGCAGGUCCCUGGGCCUGCACUGACGCUCAUGCACG